rnacentral:lncRNA from 1 species
GGGAAAUGUAGUCCCCAGUACCCGAGGGCAGGCCUGGGCGGGGCCUCCGGGAGACCCGGCCUGGGAGCACACCCCUUUGCUGCCCCGAGGCGAUCCUGGCUUUUCUUUUUGCCUGGUGAAAAGUUCCUCUUUAUCCCUCAGCUCUGACAACUUCCCAACCCCCUCACAUCUACCACGGCCCCCACAGAGAAGAGAAAAGAAAAAAGCCCACAGACGCCCAGCUGAGGAUUCCUCUGGGCGAGGGGAGGCAUCAGAACAUGCUGAGAGCCAGAAGACGUCCCAGAUUGGCAAGAGAGAAAUGGAAAUGACUUCAGUUUGGCCCCUGGCCCGAUGGGAGUUGCUGCCCAGAGGUGCCUAUGGACCAGAAGGCAAAACCAACUGGGCCUGGCUCCUGGAAAGCGAGAGAACCAGGGGACAACAACAACAAGCUUUUCUCCUCUUGGUUGUGACAAGACUCUCUUUCUGACCAGUUUCUUCUAACCGAGGACUGCUUUGAUUCUGAC